rnacentral:tRNA from 1 species
AAGUUUAGGUUACAUCUAAACCCAGGACCUUCAAAGCCCUAAACCAGGGGCCCUGCCCCCUAACUUCUG